GGGACUGGCGUGGCUUCGAUGGGAAAGGCAGAAUUACUUGAAAAAGAAGGAUGUGUAUUAUUCCUACCAAAUUUGGCACCAGCCCCACUGUCCCAUUUCUGAACCAGGUUGCUAACAGGUUGCUGAGAAUCUCCACCUCUAACAGUUAUAUCAGUUAGACCGGCAUGAACACUAUCCCAAAUACCUCCCCAACAGCUGGAUCUGUCAGCGUGGACAUCAAUGGAAUGACCAUCCAUGUACUGACACCAAGGUUAUUAAGGCUAUUGGAUCAUAAGCUGGGGCUCAAGAAGAUGAGAACUUGCUGUGUAUUUAUCUAUUGCUGAAGGAAAACAACUUUAAAAGGGGCUUUGCAGGCAAAGGGUAUCUCACAACUGCUAUAACUAUCAGGGGGUGUUUGAUAACAAAUGGCCGUAUUUUGUCCUAAUAUUUUUUCUUUCUCAUUCAAUCUUUUUGUAGUCUUAAAAUUGAAUCUUUGUGAUUGUUCAGAAUGAACAGAACAAAUUAUCUAUUUAAAUGGCUGGCUAUCUUCUUAGUAGUUGACAAGAUCUUAAACUUGCAGCACAAUAUCUUGUUACUUGCAGGUGGUUUGUGGCCUAUGCCAUGGAGCCAAAGACCUCUAAGUGCCAUACACUUAAAGCAAAUAUCUUUCUGUAGCAAUGGCAUCAUCUUGGUUGUCUCUGACAUAGGGUGGAGUUACCAAGGCAUCUAUUUCUAGGGCAUGUGACAUUUCCAUUGAAAAGGAGAAUUUCGUUCUGCUCAUUCUCAGGUUUGAAGCAAAGGGGAAGGAUAACUUCAAAAGUAAAAAAUGGAAGUAUUUCAGGCUGGUUUUAUUUUCUGCACAGCUUGAUUGAGUAGACUGAAUUUUAGCAAGGAUUUUGUUCAGUGCUAUGGGCUCACCUUGCUACACAUGCUAGGGUGACCCACUGCUAUCUGGUGAAGUGACUGUACAAACAAGUGGAUUUAAGGUAUUCUGUGAAAAGGUCUGGGAAAUUCUAUGCUGUACCUGGGAUUCUUUUUUUCUAUCAGCAUUAUCUGUUUUAAAGUUCUUUUCAGUUUAGAUUUCUCCUACUCAGCAAGCCAUCUGCUAGUGCACUUUGUUCCUUUAUAUAUGUGCCAAAGUUCUAAAGGAAAUAUUGACUUAAACAGAAUUUUCUUUGAGGCUUUUAAGCGUUCUUAAUACUAUUUGCUGUCUUUUCAAGCCUUGCAAUGUUGCUUUUCUCUAUUUGUUUUUAGAACACAUGUCAGACUGUCUUAAAAAGACUUGAGCUGAUGAAAUUGUCCAAUCCUAAGGGAUCCUGGGACUACCAGGUAAGUUAUCUGUCUCUGUCACCAGACAAAUGAGCAUUGUCAGACUGUUCUCACUGGCACCCCCUGAAUGCAGAUAUCUUUCUGCAUCUCAUUAGCAGAGGUUUGAGGCAAGAGAGCAGGUGAAACAGACAAAGCUUGCAAGGAUUCAUCCCCAAAGCCUCAGUUAUGACUGAUCCUGGGGCCUGCCUAUGAUAAACUUUACCAAAUAAGUCUGGAGUGGUUACCUAUAUGUCUGCAGAUAGGUCCGGUCCUGGGCAGGAAGAAGUCUAAUUGUUUUCAAAUUCUUAUUCACUUUGCCAGAUUAAAACUUCCUAUGAGACCUGUGUUAGCCUGUCAGCAGUGGGGUUGGGUUUUAUAGAUGAGUGAGUAUUCAUACUGCAGGGGCAGUUCUCAUUCAGUUGCUGCAUUGACUGCAUCCAGGGAGAUUCUGGGAGGACUUAUAGCCCCAGUCCCUUUGUUGUCACUCUAAUACAGGGUUAUGUGUGCUUUCCUACCUAGAAACAUUACACGACCUCCAAGAAAUAUUUAACUGCAUUCAAAAAAGCAAAGGAUUUGCUUCUGGAUUUGUAGGAAUGAGUCCAUAAUAGUCACCAUCAGCCCUGAGAUUCACUGGAAAAUAAAGAUGACUGAAAUAGUUUUGAUUGGGUUUGGGAAUAUAGGGCAGUUUUAUCAGAUUGCUAUUUAUAGCGCUUCAUGCUUUUCAUUUCUGCACGGGCUUGAUGGAGGGGAUGAAACAUAAGAGCAUUAAGAUUUUGAUAAGUUGCGAUGUGGUGGUAUUUCUUUUGACUGUUUGUGGAGAGCAAUCUGAUUUUGUUGUUUUUCCCUGCCUGGAAUUCCUGACCUUGGCUAUUCAAACUAACAAAGGGAAGCCAUUCUGCUACUUCAGUUACGGUGCUGCUUGCUCUGAGGUUGGGAUGGAUUGCCUGACAGGUGACCACAAGAUAAGGGGGCCAGCAGGGAAAUGGCCCUCUGUUUGGGUAAAGGAAACAUUCACAGGGAGUCAGCACUGGAUGUCAGCCUGCCCCUAGCUCUAUCAUUGGUCCAGUGUGACCUUCUGUCCAUUGCCUAAUUAUGGGAUUUGCUUAUGGGAGAGAGAGCAGCACCGUGUUAGCAGAAAGGAACAGCAAUGUGUCAGAAUUAAGUAAAAAUAGCACUGGAAUCUUUUAGAAAGGAUGAAGAAGUAAGACAAUUCAUUAGAAUCUGGCCUUAUGCCCUAAUGGGUUAUGCUCAGGUACAGAGCAUUGCCCCUGGCGGUUUGGACUCAGUCUGUGCUGGUUCCAGCCGAUCUUCAGGGGAAACUGCAGUGAGUUAUUCUGUUUUACAUUAGGGAUGAACUCAGUUUCAAAGGUAGCAGGAACAAUUGGGCUUGACAUAAGUUGUUGAGCACUGGCUUAAGUGUGGGUAGUGGUGAUUUGAGAUAUUACUCCUCCUUAUAUGAAAGCACAGUGCACCGGUUUCACCAGCUGUGCUGAUUUAUUCUUUAUCUCUGUCCCUCAUUCAUGCAUUGUUAUGGAUGCUGGCACCAGUCUGGAUCCAGACAUGGAUAUAGGACAGGUAUGUGAAGCUGUAUCACUAAUUUCACCAUGUUAGAGAUCACACUGCUCUCAGGCUUUUCUAAAUGAACCAUUAAUCCUCUUUAGCUUGUGCAUUUGCAAAUUUUAACUGGGUACCCAGUGAGACAUUUUAGGAUGGCUAUGAAAACCAGUUUGACCCACAGUUAACUGUGCAACAGGCACGGGGUUGUGAAUCCAGAGGAAAACAGUGCAAAGAACUUAUGUAUUUUGUGCAAUAACAAUCACAAAGACCUUGUUCUGCAAAUAAGAGUAAUAAACGCAGGGAUGUCUGAUGUACUGAGGUGUAUCAUUAGACAUCUGCACGUCCUUGCCUAGCCAACGCAGUACUGGUCCUCUGCUAACUCUAGGUGUCAGUAUAAUGCAACUCCAGUGAUGCUGCCGCAGGAUUUAAUUCCCUCACACGAGGUGCAGAGCUCUGCUAUCACUGAAAUGAGACUUCUUUGAAAGUGGCGUUUUCUGAAAGAGAUGUUUUCUUAGUAGUGGCCAAAGGGAAAGGGAGCGUUUGUCUUCUCAGCCUGUCAGAUUGGGGCUGGGACUCAAGGUAUGGGUUAUAUGGAGCCCACCAAUGAGACAGCAAUUUCUUGUGUCCUUCUAUGAAUUGCUGCACAAGAUCUGGUGGGAAAAAGAGAAAAGGAGUUUAUAAAGCUGUGAGAACAUGGAGCUGGGUUAAGGAAUGCUUGUGGAGAGUCCUCAGAGCAGUCAGUCAAAUAUCCAUCUCUGUGGGCACAGAGUACAGAGCUUCCUCAUAUAGGGCUGUGUCUACAUGCUCCUCGCAGCUGCUUUAUCGAUAGUUUUAUCUUGCUUUAUCAACAGAUUCAUGUCAUGCACUUAACAGCACAUGCAUUUGUCUGUAUGGGUAAACUGCUUCAUCUACCAGCAAAAUACAGUUACACCACACUGUGAACGCAGGAGUAGUACAAAGGUGCCAAGCUGUGCUCAACAGAAAGGUGAAGGGUUUAGAGAUGAAAAGUAAGGAUUUAGCCAGGAAUGGAGGACUGAGAACUCUGAAGUCAUCACUGUUUGUUUGUUCUUGUGCAGAAAAGAACAAACAUGCAUAAUGAAUAUAACCUUGUUUGGAUAUUUUUAUGGAUAAGAGCAUUUGUCCAAGGCCUUGGGCUCUUCAUUGUGAAGGAUCCGUGCUGCUCACCUGAAGGGAACUUGUAUACUUGAGAGUCUGGGAUGUACAGAAUCCCCACGUUUGGAGACAUCUCAGCAGGAUUCUGUAUGUCCUCUGUGUGAUUCUUACCAUCUGACCUUCAGCUAGAGCCAGGCACAGCGUCCAACCCGAUGCCAUGAGACACAGACAUCUGAGCUCAUACAGCAGUCACUCACAACAGAUCUUCAGUGCUGCAGAGUCAGCUGUCUCAAAGGGAACAUCUGAACCCAAGUCAGAACCCUCAUUUGUUCCCGCUGUUGCUUACUGCAACUUUUUUCUCCCCUUUACAACAGCAGGAGCCAGUGAUCUUUAAGCCAUAGUCUUUGCAUGUGUGAAAGGAAAGCCUGAGGAGCAAACUAUCCCUGUGAAACUAGGCUUAUAACAGAGGGACUGCAAGGCAGUAGGACUAUAAUGGAAGAAAACAAUCCAUGUUCAGGUGGCUCAACUACUGUGAUUGAUAGAAUUUUCACAUUUAAUUUCUCAAUCCGUGUUUCCUCUAAGAGAGAAGAUUGCUGCCAGAUUAUAGCUAUGUUGUAGAUUCACAUGAAGAGUAAGAGGAAGAUAACGUUAUCUAGAUGUAACUGAAAAUCCUACAGGUUUCAUUUAGAGUUGCUGCAAGGAUGGAAGACACUCAUUGCAAGACAGUAUGAAAUGGCAUGGUUAUUGUAUUGGGGUUGUUUUUACAAACAAACAAACAAAACGUGGGAGAGAAUUAUCACCUUAUCUCCUAUUCUUAGUCCAGGAAGGACUUAAAAGCACUGAACCUGGACAAACAGUCCUCAAGUGGAGAUGCAAGAAGGCAUGAGAGGGUUGGGCCCUACUCUGACCCCUCAGCACACACUGCUACAAAGAGGGAGAUGAGGAGGAAUUCUGAUGUUAGCUAACCGUGAUGAAGGUCUUACAUAUGUAACGGCAGUGGUUCAGAGGGAGAUCUUAAAAUGUGACCAGUAGCUGAUUUAUCCUAAAUUAAAGAGGAUUACUUUGUCUACAGCAAUCCUAGGGCUAUGCCAGGGACUUGAUGGAAUUUUAGUUGAUGUGCUGAUCUUGUCUUCUCUGAUUAACGAUGAAAACUAGAGAUGCUAAGGUUUCCAACAAGAUACUGAUUCAUUUGACACAUUCAGCCUAUUUCCUUCAUGUCUUUCCCUCAUCUUUUAAACAGCAGAGGACAUCAGAGAAAGGACCUGGGAGGAAUGAAAUGUUACUGAUUGUUGUUCCUGAGGUGAUUUAUACCAGCCUGGGUGAAGGAGAGGACGAGGGCAAAGCUGGGGGAUGGGUUGGCUCUGGGUGCUCCCUAGGGUCAGUCUCCCACUUUAACGUUAUGGCCUUGCUACCUUUUCAAGGCAACACUUAACUCCCUUACUUUCAGCAGAACUGUAUAUGUUUGGGAACCGUGGAAGGGUGAAAGGACCUUUGGUGGCUGGUGAGGGUGGACCAGCUCAGUGACUGAGGCUGAAGAGGACAACUGGCUGCUCGGGGCUGCCCGGCACUGUGACAGAAUGCUGGGGCAGGCCUGGCCUUCUCAGAGCACAGAAGGGUUGGGAACACCAUCAGCCAUUUGCUAGGAGGUCUGACACACAGUGCCAUCUCACUGGCUUGUGUGGAGUAGGCAGGUGCUGGGUGUGCUGCUUUGGGAGGUUGUUUCAUCUGUGUGAGCAGGCUUGUCACUGAGAAGCCAUUGCCAAUGCUCUUGGCCCAAAAGGAAGAGAGUGCCCAGAGUACAAAUAGGGAGUGCAUUCAGCGCCCAUGAGGAUGCCCCCAAAUGCUGGGUUUGCUGGAAGCUAUUCAAUCCACCACCAUGGAUGUGCAGUUUUCUAAACUUCAGUGCCAUCCUGAAGCCAUGUGUUUCUCCAGUGCUUGGUCCUGCAUUUUGUAAUGCAACUCAGCAGUGUACAGGGCCUCGAUACCUUGUCUAUGGCAGUGGUCAAUCUCAAUUCUCUCCCCUGUCAGUUGGAGCUGUGGCAUGGACAAGCACACAGCAUGGAGCAAGGGUCUUCAAGAGCUCAUCUAAUUCACAGCACUUGAAUUAAUGCUCUCUGAAACGGUCCCUCCAGAUGGAGCAUUCCUACCAGCUCUCUGUGGUGCUGCGAUGGUCUGACAGCAAGCUGUGAGCAAAUGGGAAAGCAGAAAGGUCCCAGCGGUAGAAAUGAGCCAACUGCUGCUUCUGCUGGAGGGACAGCUCGCUGAGCAGCUGCUUGGACAGCCAGCUCUAAGUCCACAGCACGUGGUGGUCUGUGAGCUCGGGGAGAUGGAUGUUGGCCUUCAGCCUGGCGUGCUGCAGCAGAUGGCCCAGCUCCUGCCUCAGGAAGCCAAACAUCAGCACGUAGUCGUACUGAAUGAGGCAGGGCAGGCACAGGCUGACAAGAGGUUUCCAGACCGUGCUGGCGUUUUGCAGUCCCAUGUCUAAAGCUUCCUGGACAAAACUGCUGAAGGAAGAGCUGCUGUGCAUGCUUUGCAGGUAAGCAGCGAUCAGCCUCUGGAAGGGGUCCCUGACAAAGAGCACUUUGGUGUAGGACCCCAUCACAGCCUCUAUCGUGCUCAGGUUGAGCUUGCCCAGCUCUGUCUGCAGAGAGUGCUGCUGAGGGUAGGGAAGCGGUGCUGGGAGCGUCCCGUUUUCUUUCUCUUCCAGCUCUUCCAGCAGCUGCUGCCAUCCCUCCACCCCUGUUGCUGGCACCUGGCAGUAGAGGAAGUUCAGCUUGGUGCUCAUCUUCACCCUGGAGAGCAGAUGAGCUCUCUCCUCCCGGCUUGUCUGGAGCAUGGUGGCUUUGCCUGACUGGCUGCAGAAAGCUCUCAGGCCUUUCUUCCUGAGCUGCUGAACGUGGAGGAAGGUGUCCAGCGUCAGAGUGAAAUCCUCCUCUGCUUUGGGGGCCAGGUCACCUGGGGAACACCAUACAAACACAGGAGCUGAGGGAAGCCUUGCUGUGACCCUGAGCCAGCACCCCAGAUGCUUGGGCAGGCUCUCUUCCAGUUAGUGCUGUUAUUUCAUGGGGUUAGAAGGGAUGGUGGUUUCUGUUCCUGAGCUCUCUGAGCAGCUCCCUAUGACUAUGAGAGCUCAUGGAUGCCCAGACCUUGCUUUUCCCAAGCUACAGGUUUUGAGUGGUGAUGGAAGCAGUAGCUUUGUGCUACAGAUCUGGUUCUCUGCUGAAUCUGUAUUUUUGUUUUUAACUCCUCUCUUCCAGCAGAGAUGAGCUUGCCAAAGAGCAAGUAGAAUCAGAAGUAUUCAGAGAGACCAAGGAGAGCUGAAUUCAUUUGUAAAUAUAAAUACGAGCCCCUUUGGAUCUGUUAAGAGUUAAACAUUGGCUAUUAAGCAUAUACCAAAAUAGGAGAUCAUUCUCUGUAGCUAGAGGUGAUUUAGGAAUCCACGUGGCUUAGUUUCUUGCAUCACUUUGGCAUAUAAAGUUCUUUUUCCUGAAGAUGAAAAGGAAAAAGCAAAUAAAAAGCUAAAAGCAUACAUGAAGAGCAAAAGCAAAUAAGAGGACAGUUGACAGUUGCUUUGAGUUUGUCAAAUUUCAGCUUUGCUCCUUACUUUUUAUCUUCUUAUUGUCAAUGUGAUGAGGCCGUUGCAGGCUUAAGGCUCACAUCAAGGCAGAGAUGAAUGUGUUCCUUGCGAUGUAUGUUUAGUACCAGCACAGCUGCCUGGUGCAGGCAUUUGGCAGCCCUGUGGGGAGCAUUAUUUUGAUGGUUUCUCCCGGGUCCUUGGGAAGUUAAAUAUUUCCCUCUGGUUUGGGGAUGUUUUCGGACAGGGAAGAUAAGCCCUUUUCAAAACUAUGGAAAACGGACUCCAGGAAAAGAAUGCAGCAAUGCUUGAAGCUCCCUUGAGAUCAGCUUCCAUGCACCCAGACCUAAAACACUUGCAAAAUACAGCCAUGGCUUUGCCCAGGAUUGGCAGGGACUGGAGGGGGGCGUGCAUUAUGCAAGCAGCAGACACGUUGUCCAGUUCACCCAGCCCCCUCCAGCUUCCCCCCAGGAGCAGAGCCUCGUUCCCUCCCAUUCCCCCAUAGCACAGCUUUCUUCAGUUACUUCCAUGAGCCCGACGCCUUGUUCCCCUCAGCCCUGAGAUAAAGACCCCCUCUGGGGACAUAAAGCCACAGGACCCCAGUGGUGAGAGCUGGUCCUGUGGCUUGGAGCAGCUCGGCCUCGCUGUGUGCAUUACCUCCUUGGCCAGACAUGGGGGUCCAGAGGAGCAGCCUCCAGGUCACGAGGGUGGCGAUGCCCAGGGAGACUACAAUGACGAUGCGGAGAAGGAAGCGCAUGGUGGAGCUUUACUGGGACCCCAAUACCGAGCGGGUGCAGACAUGGAGGACGGGUGUCAGGAACUUCCUGUGUUGAUUUAAGGCAAAGCACGCCCAGAGCCUGGGUUAAAGUACUGUUUGGGCAGCUGUUUGGUUAAGGGGCAGGGAACACACAGCAUUGCCUUCUGCUUUACAUUUACAAGAAUAAAUCCGCUUUUUAAAUCGGUGCUUGAUUAGUGCCAUACUGCCCAUGCCACAUCACUGCAGUCCCCAUCGGAAAGGAGCCACACACCGGCAUCCCCAUGCAGAGCCAGGUGGGGGGAGGCAACCACAGAUAUGUCAUUCUCCGUCAGCAUGGCUGCUUGGUGAAAUGCUGUUUGGAGUGUUGGCAGCACUGGCUAUAAGGAGCUGCACACCUCGGGAGAAGGGUUGUACAGCUGAGUGUAGGGCUGCACAUCCUGCCAUGCACAAUGUUUGUGGGUGCUUUAAAGUGGGAGCUGGGGCAGUGGGGGCACAUCCAGAAUCAGGUGACAGGUCCGUGCCCUUUUUGCUGGAAGCUGCUUAAAUUUUGUGCCCAUUCCUUGCUCUAUGGGAGACAAUGGGCAGAGCAUGGUCCUAAAAGGGGAACGCACACAGGCGUACCUCCUCUUUCUCCCCUUCCCAAGGAAGCCUGACCUGUUGAAGACGACAUCCAAGGUGAGGCUGGAUGGGGCUCUGACCUGCCCGUAGUUGUCUCUGUUCAUUGCAGGGGAGUUGGACCAGAUGGCCUUCAAGAGUCCCUUCCAACUCAAGUGGUUCUAUGAUUCCAUGAAGAUGAAUAGGAAAAGGGCUGCGGCAGUCUGGGGGUGCAUUUGCCUUCUUUGGGAAAACAGAGCUGAGGUUUUCCCAACAGAGGGAGCUCUGGGAUCCCCAUAUCUCUUGCUCAGGAGAUCAGGCCUGGUGUCCCCGCAAGCUGUCCCCAAAAACUCAGAAGCACAGUACAGCCCGAUGCUGUGCAGUCAGUGUGCAGGGCCAGAGAAGAAAGGCAGUCUUUUAAUUCGUUUCCAUCUGAAAAGGAGCAUUUAAAAUCAGCUGUUGUGUGCGCUCCGCCUGGUGCAAUGGGUAGAUAUAACAGCAAGGUUUGCAGUAAGAUUAAGAAACAGAAGGGCAGAAGGGACCACACGUGUUCUCUUAGCUAACAGCUGGCAGUUGCACUUGUCUUCCUGCACUAAACCACGGUGUUUCGGCAGGGACUGCCCCAGCUGCAGCCCUGGUGAACGAAAGCACUUGAGAGAAAGGCAGUUCAUUUUUAAGCAGGCUUGUCAUGCAUGUAGUCACCAGGCAAAAGCAAAGCAACGUUCUCUGUCUGGAGAAAGUGCCCUACCUUCCUGAAUGCACAAAGAGCAAGCAGCACUUGUAAAGGUUUGCUAGCAUGGAUCUCCUAAGAGGAGCACAGGAGACAAAUGCAAUUCUGCAACUGUGUGCUCACUCCUAGCUCCAAGGGUGGGUGUACGUGUCCUAGCACCACUCAGAGGCCUGCACAAAAGACAUUUGGUGGCUUUCUCCUCACCAGCAGCAGACUGCACUCACAGCAGCACUGAUCUUGUGUUAUUCCAGCAGCUGCAGAGAUGCCUCUUGCAUACAACCUAGGCUGCUGUAAAGGUAGGUAUGGGACAGAGAGAAGAAAGGAGCCUCUUUUCUCUCUCUCUAACUUGGGCCUGCUAUUUGUAUGCUUAAUACAGUGAUUUUUCGUCCCCGGCGUUUUCCUGUUUGUUUUGGACAUUUGUUUUGGUUCUGGAAACCUUUCUCAAAUGUCUGCUGACACCUCAGGUUGAAACUUAGAGCUGGGCUCUCCUCACUCAUCUUCCAUAGACCUCUUAGAGGUGGCCAAAAGACUUCAAUCUGAAAGGCUUCCUGCCCCGUGUUGUAGAGGGCAGCAUCGUUUUCAGACUGGAGUUUGAGCCAGACCAGAAAGUGCAUCCCGCUAUGAAGCACAGCUGUUACAGGGGAAUUAGGGAAUUCAUUUGAAGCUUCACCUGUAAAUCCUUAUCUAGGAAAACUCUCACUGCUAUGGAUGUGAGAAAAAGGUUUCCUGAUACUUCAAACAAGCGAAAGGAUCACCUGAGUAAGGAUUUCCAGAUUUAGCCCAACCAAUUGCUCAAGCUGUGUUGCCUUGGGCUCACUUUUUUUCUCAUAGGACUCAAACCCUUUGGAGAUAUUCUUCUAUGUCAAUAAACAUCCUUGUCCUGAGCCUUCUCACAUUCCUCCCACACUUCAGGAUUUUGCAGAGCAUUGUUUUGUGUGACCAUGACCUACCCGAAGCACUGCUCCUCCUGAUGCCGGCCUUCAUGGCACGCAUAUGUGAGCGGAGGAAGGCAGGUCCCACUGCCUGCUUGUGGGAAAGUGAGCUUUUCUAGGUGAUGACAAACACUGCUGUAUUCAGCAAGGGAUAUUUUUACCUUGGGGAUAAAGGAAAAGCAUAUCGGAAGCCUUCUUUUUCUCCCGCUUCUUGUUUGGAAGGCUACCAUUUGGAAACUCGGAGACAACAUCCAAAUUUUGCUCAUCUCAGUGCAGCAAACUGUGUGAAGUUGGACCAGACACUGCAGAAACGUGGCAGCAGCCAGUGGAGAACAAGCUGCCCUGCUCCCAGAGCAUCACUUGGAGUGGGAUGAGUCUUUUGCACUUGGCCAUCGGGGGAACAGACUUACUGCAGGUCACAAUGCACACUCAUGGGACUGCCCUAAUUGCAUGGGGCAGCUCAGGACAAGGUUUAGCACUUCACCACCUCGAGCUGGAGCUCUUUGACAACAGCAGCUCCUUCAGACUUCUGGCAAUUUAAGAGUCAUAGCCAAGAGCAUCCAUUUUUGGCAGCUUCAAGUAUGAGUGUCUCUCAGUGGGGUGGAUUUGGGAUGUUUCUCUGCCUUGCUUCCACCAGACAGGGGUGCACUAGGUCUGUAUCCGUAUCUUCCAGAACUUGCAUCCAGUGCUGCUGCUGAACCACAGGAAAGGAAAGGGGAGAGGAAAAAGUCUGUGUUGCGUUUGAGGAGUGGAGCAGGUAGGACAGUGUUUAGAGGGGUUGUACAACUCCAGCUUCCUGUUUUCCUGCAGCAGGAGCUGUGAUUGUCACUUAUUAUUCAGCUCCUCAUCCUGGGAGGAAGACAGUAUCAGGCUGCUCGGGGGCAGCAGGAUGUUUAUGUGAUAGGCUGAGUCAGGGUACUGCUUUUAGUACUCUUUGGAGCAGAGUAAUUGGGGGAAACAUACAUUUGAGAUAAUAUUCUUUUUUAAAUAAGGGUCAUAAAUACCCAAAGUUCUUUGCAAUUGCCAUGCAGUACUGUCAGGGCCGAGUACCUUCUCUGUCUAAGGUUAUUAUGCAAGAAUUUCACCAGGUGUCAUUAACUGUUGGUAAUGUAGUGAUGGUUCGUGUGAUUAUUGAUGCUAAUUGACUAAACUGAGUACUGGCUGCACUUACAUCAGCACUUAUGGUGGUGAGGAGGGGCUGAGGCUGAACCAGGCCUGGUUUAACUGCACGCUGCUUGGCUGUAAAACAGAGAGCACGUUGGGCCUGACAAGCCUCAAAGCUUCCUGGCAAGGAGAUGGUGGUGAAGAAAAACGCAAAGGUGUUGGGAAAGACAUCUGGGAUGUAAUACUUGUAGCCAGGCUUUGCUCUUCCCGCUGCGGGCCCCAGGGAUGGGGAGAUGUGGGCCAAGAGGAAGGCAAUGAUGUGGAGCAGGGCAUCUCACACAUCCUGUGAUCCUCCUUUCCCUGAGCCAUGGCAUUCCUGUCAGCCCAGUAUUUCUCUCCCCAUGUCAGGACUUAGAGCUGGGGCUCAAAUCAGCCGCUCCCAGCACUGCUGUUGUCUGAGGUAUUGGCUUUGGCCUAGCUGUGGCUGCUCCAGACUCAUGCCGAUGGAUACUGCAGUGCAGGGGAAGAGCUGGGACUGUGAGGCUGAAACAGAGCUUUGCAGCCCUGGGGGAGGCUGCAGCAAAGCCUGGGCAAUUGGCAGUUUUAGCUCUGGAAUGCGCACUGAGGGAUGUGCUGAGAUGUCUGCCCAUUGCUCCUCGCGUUUCCCAAGGGAAUGAUGCCAAGCUCAGCUGCUGGCUGUGAGAUUUAUCUUGGUGGCUGUUUGUUUCCAUUCCUCCUACAGCGUCUUCUCAAAUGCUCGGAGACCUUGGCCUUCACAGCCAGGCAUGCCUGGGCUCCUCCACACCAGGCUUUGAGGGAUGUUUUUGCUGAUGGAUGAGUAACAUUUUUUGGGAACUUGGGAGUCUGAUCCCAAAUGUGUUGCUGUCCCAGAAACGGCAGGGGAAAACACAUUUAAGAUCUGUUUGCUUUACUUUUUUCUUUCUUUUUUUUUUUUACCCAGACAAUAACCCACCGUGUAUUCCCAGGUUGUUUAUAUUUAGAUAAGGCUGUGCAGCAUCCUGUGAAAGGAAAAUGACACACAUCUACCACUCUGGGGGCAAGACAGCGUGGGACAAGUAGACCUGACUGAAGCAAAGCACAGCCACCAUACAAACUGCUGUCACUGAUGCUGGGGGGUGCAUCAAACACAGAAUCCCCAUCCCUGGGCUGGGUCUGUAGGGUGGGAGCUCUCUCCCACUUGACUGUGCAGUGGGGUGAAACCAUGGGAUCCUUUGCACUCCCCCUCUUAUAUGAUGCCACCCUCCUGGAAACCAAACGCAUACUUGAAAUGUCUUUGUGGGAGCUUCGUGGGAGCAGCCCACUGUUGCUAGGCACAAGCAGGAAAGUUAUUAAAACAAAUCUUUUUUUAUUAUUAUUUUUUAAACUACUCAGAGAGUAAUUGCAGAACCCUUUGCUUGACAAGGGAGAGGUUAUGUGGGGAGAAAAAUGCAUCACCCAGGGGCCCAGCAGCCCCUCCAUAGCUGGGAUGUCUUAAGGGAUAGGAAUACUCUUGGCACGGGGGGAAGGCAAGCACUGCUCCAUCACUGCCCAGCUCUGCCCAGGAAGAUCUGCCAGGUUCACCUUGGGGCAGGAGCUUUGGUACAGCAUCAGAAGCUUCAGCUGCAUCCAGCAUCCUCCUCCCUGAUCUCAACAUGGGACAGGAAUGUUCUCCUUGCUAUUUCUUUCUUUUUUUUUUUUUUUUUUUUUUUUUUUUAAUUUCCUCUGGGUUAUUUUUAUCAAAAAGUGAAGGAAAGAGAAACUUCUCUUCCUAUUGUUUUUUUUUUUUUUACUAUUAUUAUUAUUAUCAUUUGGGAAGGAGGAAGAGGGGAAACGAUUUUCCUCUCUCAUUCAAAGCUAGCAAAUGCAGCCAAAAAUUACUACCUCUCCCCGUUAUUUCUUUUAUUGGUCCUAAUUAUCUGUAAAUUGGGCAUUUCAGUGGGCAGUCAGACUUCUAGAUGCCCAACUCCAGAUAGUCAUAAGCCACAGCUUGUGGGGGCUUCCAGGGUCCCUGGGAGCUGCUGUUGGUUGGAACUAGAGAUGGGAUCCAGGGCCUUUUGUGUGAUCUCAUAGCAUUUGUGCUGCCUUGCUUCGAUUUGAAUGUGAAUUCUUAUCUGGUGUAAUCAGUGCAGUAUUCAGUUGUUAGACAACUGUGAUCAUGUUUGGUGGGAUUGCAUUUGUCUCCCUGCAGGUGCUGAGGUGCAUUUCAUUUACAAUUCUCCCAACAGGCUGUGGACAGGCAGCUGCUUCUCAUCACUCUGCAGCACCACGGAUCCUAAAGGCAAAGAAGUUUGAGUCUGAAAAAGCCCAAAUAUUUCAGCUGCGCUUAUAAGCAGCGAUCUGGUGUUGCACGUGCCUGCUGUUGUGCAUUCAAAGGCAGGCAAUGAAUCAUAGAGCAUCCUGGGUUGAAAGGGACCCGCAAGGAUCACUGACCCCAACGCUGGGCUCCGCACAGCACCGCCCAAACCCAAGCCCUAUGGCUGAGAGUGGUGUUCCAACGCUGAGCUGUGGGCACUGCCACAAGAGAAACAGCUCUGACAAACCUUACAUUGUGAUUUUCGUGUUAUUCACAAAAGCAAUGCAGUGGCAACUCUGCUACGGCAGCAUCACCACUCCCUUGGUGCUAUUUGAGUCAACCGGUUUAAUUUUUGUGGUGGGACAACCUGUUUUUAGAAAGCAGAAUAGCAGCUGCAGGCUCGGUGGCCAUGAGCUGGGUCAGCACAAGGGUCAGCUCCGCGGGAUUUUGUGUCAUCGUUUUGUGGAGAAGUGAUGGGUUUCCAUCCAUGUGCAACUUCCCACAGCAGCAGGAUGCUUCCUCCUGCUUUCAAGGCUCGGAUCUUCUCUGAGGGAGGAUUCAGUUGACAGAACAGAGAUGUACUUUUCAAAGACAAAAUAAAAGGACUUCUCCUCUUCUCGGGGAAGAACCACGGAAAUGUCCCUUAUAUGCCACGAGGGAACUAAAGAUGUGGUUUUGAUGGAAAUAGAAGCAGCAGGGUAGGGAGAGAGUGGGCAAAUCUGUGCUCACUGCGCAGCACCAGUUGUCACUGUGUGGGAGAGCAAAAGCCCACGCCUGGUGCUGUUCGCAGGUUGGAUAUUAGGAAAAUCUUCUCCAGAAGAGCGGCAAAGCAGGAACAAUGUCAGUGCUGAACACUGUUGAUCCUAUCCUCUCUGCUGCUGCACUUUGAAGAGCCAUCAAUAACCCCUCAGCCACCGGCUUCCCAAGGAGGUGGCCCCACAGAAAAACAGGAAUCCCUUAUCGGGAGGCAGGAAAUUCUAUUUUUAUGUGGAGUUCGGAAUAAAAAUAAGAAGGAAAGAUACACACAGGACUUGUGGGCUAAAAUUAAAUCCUUGUCUUCUCCCCUCCUUCUCCUGCUUCUCCCCAUAUGGAGAAAUCAGUGAUGUACGCCAAGAAGGAACUCACGGUGCUUGGAAGGGUUUGCCCUGCUCAUCUCUCAGCAGCAGGCUUUGUGAGUGUGGAUUAAUUAAAGCACCUCAGAUCCCUGCUAUGGCCAUGCUGUACGUCUUGGGUAAACAAGAAGAUGGUUUUUUUUUCUCAGUUUAAUCGCGUGGUUCACUUUGAGCAGAGAGGUCUGGUGCCUGACCACCACGUGAGCAGCCUGAAUCCGGAGCCAGCCUUCCAAGCAUUUCUGUGGCCAGGUGCUCCAAUAUUUCAGUAGCCACAGGGAUGGAUGGAUGCAUCUUUAGAGUCUAUCUUGCCCAAGUGCCCACCACUGGCAGCUUUAGUUCUGCAGCAGACAGACCAGCAUAUCAGGGUGAGGUCUGGGUUUUGAGCACUAUCCUACCCAGUUCAGCAGGACCCAUAGCAAUGGUGUGAGCCCUGAGCCAUGGUUACCAAAUCUGUUUCCUUUCAUUAGUCCAAUGCUGAGAAGCAUUCCUCCAGACCAAGCCAGGCCAGGUUUUACAGCUCUGGCACGGUGACAGUGCCACAUAUGCAGCACACUAUAUGCAUACGCAGUGAGCAUAGUGACAGUGCUGCAUAUCCCAUAGGCAGCACCAUUGGCAAUGGGCAUCCCUGGUGGCACCUUGUUAUCCAUGUCAGGAGGCAGCAAGCCCAUUUCAGGCUAAUCUACAGUGGCUCUAUGGUGUUGGGACCUGGGGCUGAAAGACUUAUUGCUUGGCUUGCAAAAAUAGAUCCAGAAAAGUCACCCAGAAGAACAAAAGCACAGGAUAAACAUCUCCUGAUCGGCCAUGCUGGUGGUUUUUGUGUGUUCGCAUCUAUGCUUUAGGAACAUGUGCAAUCCACUACUUGCCUGGGAAAAGUCCCUGCAAAUGGGAAGCAGGACAGCUUCUGAGGUCAUCUGGGGGCUCGUUGCUCUACCAGGGAGUUCCCAGCUGUGUGAGAUGCUGUAACCAGCUGCCUGGAGGCAGAAAAAGGCUUUGGCAGAAACCCACAGCUUGCUUUAUCAGUACGUGGCCAGGAAUGUGCAUUUUAAGAUUUGCACCACAGCAUGUUUUGUUGACAGCCUAGGAAAGAAACAAGCAACCAAAUGGCAGAGAGAGGAAUGUGGAUGUCAUUCAGCCAGGCGUGUACAGGCUGGGGGUCCUGGAGCUUCCCAGGAGCGUGCAUGUGGAGCUUGGGAGGGCCUGGCUUUGCUUGCCUGGUACUGCCACCAGCUCUGCCCAUACAAAGCCUUUACACAGCUCUUCUGAUGUGCUCCUUCUGAGAAGGAAAAGGCAAAAGUUCCUCUAGGCACUAAGACCAGGAAGCACUGUUUUCUGCAGUGAAGCUCUGCUCUGAGCCUUUGGUUACAAAAGAUCCCAGCCUUGCUCGGGGAAGGAAAACAUAGGCCGAACUAUGUGAGACCCUACAGCUACCAGUCAGUGACCUGGCUCACCAAGUAAAUGAGGGUGUGAGAGCAGAAGUGCCUUUACCUGAGCUCAUCUUAUCACUAACACAACUAGAGGCAGGUUUGAAAAGCUGGGAGGGGGAUGCUGGGCUGUCAGGUUGUGUUGGUGGCCUGGACAGCAAAGACACAGAGAACGGUUAAGAAAAGUGGUUGGUUGUGAAGGGGGUGGGUGAUGAGAAGGUGUUUGGUGCUGGGCUUGGUUUUAUUUGACAGCCUCAACCUGGAGGGGCUGCCCAGGUUGUUGGCUGUGUCCCUGGUGUGGUGUUUGCCAUACUACUAUUCCUGGAAGAUACCUCUUUGAUGCCAGGAGAUGGAUGGCUGCAGCAUCCAUGGCUGCUCUGUUGGUGACCAGCCUUUGUAGUGCUGUCUCUUGAAUUUUGAUGUCAUAGCAUCAGAUGCUUCACCUGUUUUCUUGCCUGCUGAGCUAGGUAUGUGGCAAGAGCUACUGCCAGCUUGGCUAGCCAGUAUGGGCAAAGAAUUAAACUGUGCUGGGCAAGCCUAUGUGUGAAUAACUUUGUGAGGCUGACACGCAGGGGAAAAUGAAAACAUAAGAAAUGCAAGUCUAAGGUCACUGCUGUGUUGUGCAAGUUCUUCUUGCUUCUGCUCUUUACAGUAAGAUAAGGUGGUGAAACUUGGGUUUAAAGAAGUGAUGCAAAACCACGUCUGGCUUGCUUCUAAAAAGCACCGAUCGGAAGAGUGUUCUUCCCCUGCAGGGCAUGGUCUCCUUCGAAUUUCACACUUGAAAAUUGGCUUGCUUGUGCAUAUUUUUUUUUUUCCCCUUUGCAAAACAUCUCCUUUCAGUUUUGCCUAUGUGAAAUCAGUUUCAGGCUGUCCAGACUGCUUCUAGUCCUAGAGGAGGUGGGAGGGAGGUUCUGCCUCGGCUUUCUGAGGAGCAGAGGACAUGGGCUGCAGGACAAGCUACUCUUACAUCCCUCCCUAGAAUGGGCUGAAUUGCAAGCUGAUUAUUUUAAUGAGAUGACUUUAGAGGAUUAAAUGUUAAAAUCCGGGACGUGAAUCUGCUAAUCCAAGGGGGGUAUUAUUUAUCAGUGCUUGAUACUGAACCAAAUGUAUGCAACGUUUUUCCUUUCUUCUUGGAAUAAGUGAGGUUUGUGUGUCCAUUUAACAGAGGUGGUUGUGACUCCCUUUGGGCUGGGCUGGGUCAGGGGCUGAGCCCUCCACCAAAAGCACCUUGGGCAGGUCAGAAGGAGAAGAGUUCAGCUUCAAUAGACAGAGUUGGGUAUGCCUCUGUGCUGAGGCAGCAUAAAAGUGAAGCAUGUGAGGAGACAGAUCAGGACAGGGUUUGUGGUGUGUGCAGAAGCCAACCCAGCAUCCUCAAGCAGAGAUGGACUGGAGCCAUGCCCUUCUUCCCAAGUAGGCACGCUUGUUGUUUUGGACUUGGUCCCUGCUCUGCUGUUAGAAGAACAGAAUAUUUUGCAACACAACUCGUUGGGAGGUGGAAAAAAAAAAUAAUAAUCUGAUGGCCCUUCCUUGUCUGAGAUGUUUGAGAGAGUUGAUUUUCAUUAAGAAAAAAACAAAACAAAACAAAAAAAAAAACCUACACAAAAAAAAAAAAAAAAAAAAACAAAACCAAAAGGAAUUCAAAACAGGAAACUCUUAUCAGCUUGCCAGGAAGCUCUAUUGCUCCGUGGAAGUGUUACUGGACGGUCAUUGCUACAUUCAGUAGCUGUUUGGGAGUAAUUUAUGGCUUUCUUAUGGGAGUCAAAUCUUCCAUGCAAGCAGGGGAGAGGCCCUAAAGCUGGAAAGGGUAGUGGUAGGAGAAGGAGGGUGGAGGGGAAAUACCAGGGAACAGGAUUUGUAUUAUCUCACUCCAUAUAUUUACAAUGAUAAGAACUUCAUUGUUUUCUGUAGUAAAUUAUGAUCCUGGGUUUGUUCUUUAUUCAGAUCAGGAAACAACAAACCAAAGCCUUUACCAAGAAAAAAAAAAUAGCAAAGGAAAAAAGCUUAAUCUUCAGUGGCUUUUGUUAUUCAGCAGAAGUAAUCAGGGGAGUCGGUGUGAUAGGUAACUUCUUGGAAGGCUAAUUUCUAACUAAUUACCCUAGGAACUGGUGUGCUCCUAUGCCAAAUGUCUCUGUGUGUAAAGCUAUAUCCAACGAGUAAAACCUGUCAGAGGAGCUGGGCUGGCUCUUUCUCAUGCCCCAUUUCUGGUGUGCCCAUUGCUUGUGGAGGGCUUGCUCACACCCACAGGGCACGUACUUAAGAGGCCGUCUCUGGAUUAGAGAAGAGAAGUGUUCUGCAGUGUAAUAAAAUACAUCUGAUUGCUCAGUGUGUGCGUUUCACUAACCAGAUCUGGAGCUUACAAUACAGCUCUGUCAGAUGGCUGCGUUGAGCAGCGCUGGCUCCUUGCCCAGAGUUUGCUUUUUUUCCUCCUCUGGUGCAUCUGUUUGAGUAUCUGUGGGUGGCUGUCACCCCUGCAGCCCUGUGACGUUACGGCACUCCCGGCCACGGAGAUACGUGGUGUCCCAUCAGCUGCGUUGGGCACGCACAGUGCAGAGAAGGAAGCGUGAUGCUAUUGCCAGGUUAUCGUCUUCAUAGCGCUGACCGAAGCACUCGUUUGCUUAUCUUUCAUUUCUGCUGGCAAAUCUCUCUCUCUUUUUUUUUUUUUUUUUUUUUAAAUAAAUAAAACUGAACUUUUGCCUGGAAAUCUUGAGCUUACGGAUGAUUGAGUGGAAAAGAAUUAUUUCAGGCAAGCGCUGCUUCACACCUCUUCUUCUCCCCCAUCCCUACGUGCUAUUCCUGGUGAAACAGCAGCUGGUCCUCAUACAAGGAAAGUUAUGCACCAUUGGCUUGGCAAUAGUGGGGCUGAUUCAAUCCUGCACCAGGUAACGUGAAUGCAAUCGGAAAGCCAGAUGUGCUUAUGAGCUUCCAAUCUGAACCCCCUCCUGGAAGAAGUCUUGGAACAAAUGCCAAGAUCAAAAUUAUUCCCUUUUUAAAAGGGUGGGCUUAAACCCACAGCUCUGUGCAAAGAUGUGAACACGGCAGUGUUCAGCGCUUCUGGAAGAUGAGGUAGUUUUGUGAUCACUUGAAGCCUUUGGUCAAGCGUAGUUGGAGCAAUGAUAUCAAGAGGUAUAAUGUAACAACUGCACUUACGUGGGGGGAAUCCAUUACGUCCUCUUUAUAUGUACUCAUCUCUAAUGGGGCAUCUAAAGGAAUUUCUACAAAACACAGUAAACAGUCAGUGGCCUUUUUAUACUUCUUGGACUGCAUUCAGGGUUUGCACUUGGACUUCUGUAGGAAGUAAACAGCUUUUUGCUGUGGCUUUAAGAAUCCCUCUUCCUCCCCUUGUACCUUGUUCAGUGCCUUCCCUGCCCCCUAACCUCUCCCCUUUGGGUACGUAGCUGAAUACAAAGGUUGCAAUAUGCUCCAUGUUUUGCAUGCUUGUCUCUGGUGAGCUGAUAAGAGCAGCCUGUUUCUCUCAGAAAGGGCCACUGGCUCUGUCUUGCUGAAGUCAGCAGUGGUCAGAGGACAGCUGUGGAGCCUAGUGGGAUGUCCCCAGCAGGUCCUGCUGUGGGGCAGCACUCACCUAGCUGCUCAUUGGCUCAGAUGGUGCCUGAUGCUGAUUUAUCUGAGGCUCCUCAAGAAUAAUUAAGUGAAUUGGUGCGUCUGGUGGCUUAAUUUCAAGUCUCUAGCCAGGAUGGCAGAGUCCUUGUUUGUUUGUUUAGCUGCAGAGGUGCAACGCGCUGAGAACAGGUCCAGCUAGCCUUGAAAAUGUGGGAAGCCAGAUCUGGAAGCUGGAAGAAAGUAGUGAAAGGCUGUCAGUCUGCCUUUGUUUGUGUAAAAUGAAUUGAAUGAGUGAGGCAGGCUAUCAGAAGCAGAUAAGUGGAAAUAUUUGUGACCUUGGAUGAUCCCUUACAGGGUUGGGAUGAGGGGGUGGCUGGAAACGGCAAUGUGUCCUCAUUUGUCACAUUAGCAGUUUGUCAUUUCCUGGCUUAUUUAUCUUGCUCACGGAGAAGAUGUUCGUGUUUCCUGCUGGGUGGGGGGCAGACAGCAGUUCCAGGAUGGCCAGGUCAACUCUCUAUGGAAGCACAAGUUGCUUCCACAAAGCUCUGCUUGCACCAAGCCUGCACAGGUGUUGCAGUUUCUCUGAUUUCCACCAAGUUUCCCUCCUGUACACUCAUUUCCCCUACAGGUGAUUGAUCCCUUUAUGCCUUUGGCAGCUCUUUCCCAGGGCUGAGUUAUGAGCAGCUUUUGCUGUGGUGUUUUUGGGGGUACUGACAGGGACUGGCUUUCUCCUGCAAGGGAGCACAGGACAAGAGUCCAUCAUUUCUGUCUGUCUCAAAAGGUCUCUGUGGUUGUGCAGGGUGGAUGGAGGGCUAUGUUUCCCCAGCUCCCUCAUGGGAGGAGGAUGGUAGAAUGGCCCAUGGCCUGAAGAGAUGCAUUGCUAUGAACAACCACAAGCACAGGUUGCGACUACUGCUUCCAGGUACUACUUCCAGAGCUGGGAAACUGACCCUAGGCAGAGAAAUGCUGCCGAGAUUGAGACAUUGUGGUGCUCUGGGGGUUGAAUUGAAAUGUAGAGUGUAGAAGGGGAGGGAAAAGUUUAGGUCCAGGAUUUGCUAAUCCACAGACAGCACGUGACCUCUACUCUCUUCUGCUCAUGUGCUCUGUCUAAGGUCUGACCACGCAUCCUCCCCAGCAUCUUCUCUCAGACAGGGACCACAGAUUCUAAGACUGGAGAAGUGCUGCAGGAGAGAACUGGAGCAAUUGAAUCAUCGGAGCCUGAAGACAAGCACUGUGACCAAACCUCACCCGCCCUGUUCCUGGGAGGUGUUCACUGGAGAGAAAACAAAAGUACCAUAGAAGUUUCAUAGUUGCACAGGCAGCUGUAGGCCACUGAGACGAAAUGACCCAUGUCUAUGGCUUGGUUACCCUGGGUCUGGACUCCUACAAGACAUUCAGCUACUUUUGUUGUGUAGCACUGCUGUUUUUGAUGGCUGCAGCUGGCAAGGCAGAGAGCAUGUAUGGCUUAGUCAAGAAAUGAUUACUGGUCGUAGCCUGUACUGCCUGCCAUAGGCCUUGGGCUGAAGCAGGUUGGAAAUGGAGGAAGGAAAUAAUAAAAAUAGGUCCCCAUGUAUCAUUGGUGUUUGACCUACAGUGCUGGUGACUGCCCAUGGGACCCUGGGAAGCGCAUGGCCAUUUUUGUGGUUUAGUUUGAACAGUGAUUUACUGGAAGAAAGGAUGCCCACCAGCCCCCUUGUAGCCUUUGGAAGGAUGAUUCACCAAAGAUUUUAUUAAUUGAAGGACUAAUCUUUGUGGCACAGAGGCUGAGUUUCCUAGUUUGCAAGAGGUUUGCUCCGUGCUAGAAUUGGAUCACUGGGUGCUAGUUAGUUAUUAUGGAUGUUUAGGCUGCUUAAUGAUCUUUCUAGAUGUAUACGGGAAUUAACUCUUGAUUGCCACAGGAAAGAAAUCUGCACUCAGGGACCGGGUCCUUCUGUCCAGUCAGAACAACUGCUUUUGGGAAUUUAACACACUGCUGCCAGCUGGGACUCCAGACACUCUCCUUUGGUACAAAUCAGAGAUGCUUGUGCUGGUUGAGAAAGAAACCUUGAAGAUGGUUGGAUAGGAAUGCUGAUGCUCAUUGACACAACGUGUAACUAGUUGGUUUGCCACUGAAAACUUCAACAACUUGUAGAUUGUUUAUGUUCCUGACUAGCAAAGGAAGCAGUGGGUGUGCCAUGGUGAAUGUGAGCUGUACAGCUUGGGCUUUCCUCCCCUUUGGGCAGUGAGGGACUGCUUCAAAUCAGGUUCAUCCCACCUUAAACACCGACUUUGUUGCUCUACCCGCAUUGCCUGAGGGUGUUGGAAAGCUACACAGUAAUUGACUUGCAUGCAUUAGCCUUGAACUUUGCAAGUCAAGUUUCUAAAGCAAGGCUUGUUUACUUCAGUUUGUGCAAGGGGAGUGAAGAGGGAAAGGCUUCUAAGCACAAGGAAGGAAAGUGGGGGGGAAAUCUACAAUGUGAAACACCACAAAAGCAGCUUGGAUGUUAUUAUAGUCAAGCUGGUACUCUGGAAUAACGGUGCUGUUCUCCUGGGGUGUUUCCAAACACGCACAUCAAGCUUUAAAGGAUGUGAGAACUUUGACAAGCCUAUUAAGUGGUUAGUCAGUCACGUUCCUUGAUUUGCACGUAUGUGGAGUCACCUAAACCCUCUUUCUGCAGCCGACCCCAUAAGGGGAACACUAAAAUAACCCCACAGGAGAAAGUUACCACUGAUAACAUUGAUGCAAGACAUGUAGCACGUUCUUAGAUGAAAUUUGGAGGAGCUUCUCUCCAGCUCUUGCUGGGUGUUGUCAAAACAUCAUUCGAUGGAAGGUCAAAUUGUUCGUAACUCUGUGUUCCCCAACCAAAGGCUGUCAUAUGGAUAAAGCAUUAAGGAAUAAUGAGACCAAGUUAAAAGAACAGUUUCCAGACAUGAAUCUGAAUGUCAUUGUUGUAUGAUGUUUACAUCAGAACCUCUGAUGACGGAAAAACUGAUUCUACCUUUUUGUUCGAUUGAAAAUCCCUCUGAAUUCCAACAUGCUGGCUACGCUCCAGCACACAGAGGUAAUUGCUUCUUGCUAACCUACACCCCUCCUUAAAUUUUAUUCAGGGAACUUAGUGUGACUACUGCCUUCCGCUCACGUAAGUGGCUGCGUACUGCUGUUGAUCGAAACUCUUGGCAUUAUCCACAGUGGAGAACUUCGUUUUAAUGGGGCCCAUAUAUUAUCCCUUAUAGCAUGUAGGUUCAGGUAUUUUUAUAAGAAAAAUCCUUCCCAGUAAGAGGGAAGACAAAGUACACUUCCUAUCAAGAUACAACAGAUUUUUUUUUGCCUGAGAAUGGGAAGGGAGGCACGAGAGCAUCGAAAGAGUGAUACCUAUGAACUCAUGUGAUACAAUCCACCAACCACAUGCAAUUGCAAACAAACAGGUUCCUCUGCGUAAUUAUUUCCUGGGGAAACCUGGUUCCGUGACUGAGAAAUGCUCCUAAGAAAAGAACUGCUAUUGAUACACAAUGGUUUUCAGGAGCGUGGUUCCACGAACUGGCAAAGAGAACAUUGCCAAGGUGUGGUGAAAAGCCCACGUAGCUGGGGUUACCCAAAUAGUCCUAACUCCAAGUAAGAAAAAGAUGAGAGUGAUGGCAGCUGCAGUUGCUGCCUUGGAGAAGGAGAUGGAGAAAUAUGUUUCUUUUGAUGGAACUGAACGUAAACUGCCUCUCUGGAAACAGAGCCUCCCAUGUUGCUGUUUUGACCCCUCCUAUAAGAGUUGUUCCUUCUUCUGCAUUGCUGUUGAAUCACAAAGCAAUCAUCUAGUAACUGUUUGUCACUAAAAUGCUUUCACUGGUUUUCCCCUUCAACACCACCGGGGAAGUUCCGCUCUGACAGUGCAAGUGGCUUUGAGUACAUGUUGAAAGAGCAGUGCUGCAGUUUCAUUUUGUGGGCUUGACCUGUCCUGGCUGAGUCAUCUGUGCUGUUGUAACUGCUGUGUCUGUGUCCCAGCAGCGAUGCAAAGAGCCGAGGCAGGAGCAGGGGCACCUGAUGUCGUGCUAAUGUGGUGGUGUGGGGCUAACAGCUGCUGCAAGCAAGAGAAUCUUUCCAUUUCCUGUUUAAUGGCAGAAUUUUCAAGAUGGCUAAAGCACAGUCAAUACAAUGAAAAACGUUUAUUCCAAGUGUUUUUAACCACUGAGGCUGGUGGUGCCCAGAAAAGCAAUGGAAAGGCUUGUGCCCUGAAAGCCAUCUGAUACAUGGGAUGGAUUUUUGGCCUUCUGGACACCUUGCUGGUGUAUACUGAAAAAAGACUGAAAGAUCUCACCCACUCCUGUCUCCCAAGAGAACCACUAAGCUCCUGCUCCUUAAAUGUUCCAUUUCGGCACAACACAAUCAGUAUAUUGCACUGUUUGAGUGGUCACAAGAAAACCAGAUAGGACCCAUCUGAGGUCUCCUUUCAGCUGUUCCUUGUCCCUCAAUCUGGAGUCAGAUGGAUGCAAACCCUACAGAAAAACUUGGACUAGCGCUUCCACAUGUGCAUGCUGUAAUGCCAGCUGCCCACUGGGUAGCUGAAGUGGAUUGAGAAGAUUUGAGUGAAACUGACAGACUAAAUGUUUGUUUACUUCUUGCUCUCCACCCCAUGAUUUCCUCCCUCUCAUGCUGUACAAACGUUGAAUGGAAACUUUGCCAAUCAGUACUGCUCACACUCUUUUUCUAAGUGCUUCCCCAGGACUAUCCCAACUGCUCUCUCAUAUUCAGUGCAUCUCAGUGUCAUAAACUGGGGAUAAUGACCACUGUAAAAAACAUGUCAAGAGAGUCAUGAAGACAGAAGUAAAAUGAGAGCCAGCAAGAUUUGUUUGUCAUCUUGAUAUUGAUCCUAGGUCUUGAUGAAUCUGCAGCAUUCUCAUCUGUGACUGGCAGGAGGAAAUUUUCACUGUAUUUCUGUUCCUACUUAAGUACUUACUGGAACGUUACCCCUCCACCUCUGAACAAGACGAAUCUUGGGUACAAUUCUACUGGCUUUGGCGAGUAUAACACACAGUUGCAAUCAGACUGCCAGAAAAGAGACACUGCCACAGAUGUUAGCCAGUCAUUCAGCAGUGCACGAGUCCAGCAUGGCAGAUCUGCAUAUGAAUGUUUGGGAAUGUGGUGAUUUGCUCAUUCUGUUGUUGCAUAUAGCUGCGAAGACAAAACUGAUGUCUAUAUUUAAGUUUGCCAUGUAAAGAAAUAGACAGAUCUAGCCUUUCUUUUUAAUAAUGUUUUAGGACCAGGGUACAAAAAAGGUUAAUGCAUUCAUUUUUAAGACAAGUGAUAAAUGUAAUGCAAUAAGCACAUCCUACAUACACAAUAUAUUUCUCUAUAUAAUAUGAACACAGAUAUAAAAUAAGUUAUACUUGUCUUGUUUUUUUUUUUUUUAUCACAGUAGGAACUCAGCUUAUAUAAAGUGA